UGGAGCAAAUCUCAAAAAGCCGUCCCAGUUCGGAUCGCAGGCUGCAACCCGCCUGCGUGAAGUUGGAAUCGCUAGUAGUCGCGGAUCAGCAUGCCGCGGUGAAUACGUUCCCGGGCCUUGUACACACCGCCCGUCACACCAUGAGAGUCGGGAACACCCGAAGUCCGUAGCCUAACCGCAAGGGGGGCGCGGCCGAAGGUGGGUUCGAUAAUUGGGGUGAAGUCGUAACAAGGUAUC
rnacentral:rRNA from 1 species